rnacentral:rRNA from 1 species
AGAGUUUGAUCCUGGCUCAGGAUGAACGCUAGCGACAGGCUUAACACAUGCAAGUCGAGGGGCAGCGGGGGAGUGGCAACACUUCCGCCGGCGACCGGCGCACGGGUGAGUAACACGUAUGAAACCUGCCCGCAGCAGGGGGGAUAAGCGGAAGAAAUUCCGUCUAAUACCGCGUAACAACCGACGGGGGCAUCCCUGUUGGUUCAAAGGAGCGAUCCGGCUGCGGAUGGUCAUGCGGCGCAUUAGCUAGUUGGCGGGGCAACGGCCCACCAAGGCGACGAUGCGUAGGGGUUCUGAGAGGAAGGUCCCCCACACUGGUACUGAGACACGGACCAGACUCCUACGGGAGGCAGCAGUGAGGAAUAUUGGUCAAUGGCCGAGAGGCUGAACCAGCCAAGUCGCGUGAGGGAUGACGGCCCUACGGGUUGUAAACCUCUUUUGCCGGGGAGCAAAGAGCGGGACGCGUCCCGCCUCGAGAGUACCCGGAGAAAAAGCAUCGGCUAACUCCGUGCCAGCAGCCGCGGUAAUACGGAGGACGCGAGCGUUAUCCGGAUUUAUUGGGUUUAAAGGGUGCGCAGGCGGAAGCGCAAGUCAGCGGUAAAAUUGAGAGGCUCAACCUCUUCCCGCCGUUGAAACUGCGUUUCUUGAGUGGGCGAGAAGUACGCGGAAUGCGUGGUGUAGCGGUGAAAUGCAUAGAUAUCACGCAGAACUCCGAUUGCGAAGGCAGCGUACCGGCGCCCAACUGACGCUCAUGCACGAAAGCGUGGGUAUCGAACAGGAUUAGAUACCCUGGUAGUCCACGCAGUAAACGAUGAAUACUCGCUGUCCGGGAAGAUUGGUCUCUGCGGCGGCCAAGCGAAAGCGUUAAGUAUUCCACCUGGGGAGUACUCCGGCAACGGUGAAAGUCAAAGGAAUUGACGGGGGCCCGCACAAGCGGUGGAGCAUGUGGUUUAAUUGGAAGCAACGCGAAGAACCUUACCAAGUCUUGACAUCCCCCUGCCGGGAGAGUAAUGUCGCCUUUCCUUCGGGACAGGGGAGACAGGUGGUGCAUGGUUGUCGUCAGCUUGUGUCGUGAGAUGUUGGGUUAAGUCCCGCAACGAGCGCAACCCCUGUCCUCAGCAGCCAUCUCGUUAUGGUGGGCACUCUGGGGAGACUGCCGGGGAUAACCCGGAGGAAGGUGGGGAUGACGUCAAAUCAUCAUGCCCCUUAUGAUUUGGGCUACACACGUGCGUACAAUGGCGUAAACAGAAGGGAAGCGAGCCCGCGAGGGGGAGCAAAUCCCAAAAAUAACGUCCCAGUUUGGAUUGCAGUCUGCAACUCGAGUGCAUGAAGCUGGAAUGAGCUAGUAAUCAGCUGAAUCAGAAUGUCGCGGUGAAUAAGUUCCCGGGUCUGUGCACACACCGCCCGUCAAG